GGAUGCGAUCAUACCAGCACUAAAGCACCGGAUCCCAUCAGAACUCCGAAGUUAAGCGUGUUUGGGCGAGAGUAGUACUAGGAUGGGUGACCUCCUGGGAAGUCCUCGUGUUGGACUAG
rnacentral:rRNA from 2 species